CCUACGGGAGGCAGCAGUGAGGAAUAUUGGUCAAUGGGCGAGAGCCUGAACCAGCCAAGUCGCGUGAAGGAUGACGGCCCUACGGGUUGUAAACUUCUUUUGUCAGGGAGCAAUUGGGUCCACGUGUGGGCUUAGCGAGAGUACCUGAAGAAAAAGCAUCGGCUAACUCCGUGCCAGCAGCCGCGGUAAUACGGAGGAUGCGAGCGUUAUCCGGAUUUAUUGGGUGUAAAGGGAGCGUAGACGGCUGUGCAAGUCUGGAGUGAAAGGCGGGGGCCCAACCCCCGGACUGCUCUGGAAACUGUAUG
rnacentral:rRNA from 1 species